CGUCGGCGUCGCGUGCGCACCAACUGUUUACAUUUUUUAUCGAGUUUUGUUGUAUUUUGACAAGUACUAGUUUAAAAUGUUUAUGUCUUAUGAAGUGUUCGCGACUUUCGGGAUAUCUGCUAUCCUGUCCUUCACGUUAUCAGUAAUCCUCCUACUGAUAGUGGCAGCUAAGAGGGGGUUACUCCGAGUGGGUGCUAGCAGCAAGCCAGCCAAGUUCAACCCACUACUGCUGCCUAACACCACGCUAACACCCAAGAUCGUUGAAAUGACGCCUUUGAAAGACCCCGCGUAUUAAAUGACUUGCAGAGCUCGUCAAGUAACUCUGCUGCUCUGAAGUUGGCUAUAAAUUCCUUAAACACAAUGAAAUUGACCAAUAACUCUGAAGUUAGGUAGCUAUUAAAUGCUUCCUGAUAGUGUUUUGUUUAUUUAGUGUUGACUGUUGUGACAACUAGCUAACUUCAGAGCAGAACUGUGUCUAUACAGGUAUGAAGGUCCCUACCCGAAUCUGUCAAAUGUUACCAAUUGAAUAUAAACCUUCCACUAUUGUAAUAAAGUUAAAAAUCUAUUGAAGUUUGACGGAUUAAGGUAAGGUGAUAUGCUAUGUGUGUACAUAAGUUGCACCCUUAUUACGUAAACGAUAGAUAUCCAAUUGUUAUGACUUAGAAAGAAAUGUUGAAAGUUACAACAACGCAAUAGAGAUAACAUUGAAUUGCGGUAAUAAUAAGUAUUGCAAUUGUAAUCGAAGGAUAUCAUGUUAAUUACGUAAUUGGAGUGCUUGUGAUCAUAAGUUUUUAGGUACUUAAGUUAUUGUCUGUUCGAGAGAGGCAUGAAGAUAUAACGAUAUAUCAAGCUAAAAAUACGUUAUGAAUUUAGUUAAUACUGUUUUGAUUAAUCAUGAUACGCCCCCUCAGAAUUUACAGGGGGCGUAUCGUAUCAUAAAGAGUGUACAUGAUAUUGCAUAUCAGCUAAAAACCCCCGACCCAAAAAAAGUAUGCAAUAAUUAUGACAAAAGGUUAAAAACGCUAAACCCUAUAAAAAGCAAAAAAUAACUUUUAACACUACGUAAACUAAAUUUUGUCGUGUCGGGGGACCGCUCUAAUUCAUUACUUCAGAUACGUGUUUUUUUUUAAACGAUGUUGUAAUUAGAGGUAGGUAUCAUUUGAUUUAUGUAAGUAUUUAUGAAGGUAAAAAGCGGUCCCCCGACACGUCAAAAUUUAGUUUACGUAGUGUUAAAAGUUAUUUUUUGCUUUUUAUAGGGUUUAGCGUUUUUAACCUUUUGUCAUAAUUAUUGCAUACUUUUUUUGGGUCGGGGGUUUUUUUAAAUUUAUAAUUUAAUUUUAUUUCAUGCUUUUUAAAGGAGCUCCUUAAUUUUUCCUUCUUUCAUUUAAUUUAUUUUAUCUUAAGAUGGGGUCGCUAUAUGCGAUCUCGGCCAAAGGAAGCUGUUUAACAAUCCUCAUGACAAACUGGCUCUGGGAGAAUUGCACAGAUUGAGAAACAAUAAAGAUUAACCUUUGGACAUUCUAGAUUUUCAGCAAAAAUAUAAAUCGGUUUAUCCGUUUCAUUCCGGUAUUCCAGGGUUUCAUCCGCCACAUCCCAUUUCCAGCAUCAGGUUCUCGUCAAUCAGAAACAUGAAGAGAACUCGUCAAGACAAAUUCAACGAGCCCAAACUCGAUGGGGUUACUAAAAGGCAGUUCAGGGUUACGUCUUCUACCUUCGUGCCCUAACAGAAGACCAGCUCAGUGGUUCCAAAAGACAUUAGUGUUUCAAAUUUCAGAUCCCACAUAUACUUGCAAGUAAACUGAGCGUGUAACAUUCCUAUCACAUCUAGCAAACGAGCUGAUGACCUUGAAGACCUGAACCGAUUUCCACCAAACAUAGCUAAGAACACUCCCGACUGACAUACCUUUUAAACAAAAAAAAACGCAUUACAAUCGGAUCAUCCGUUUGGGAGCUACGAUGCCACAUACACACACACACACACACACACACACACACACACACACACACACACACACACAGACACGUCAAACUUAUAACACCCCGUCGUUUUUGCGUCGGGGGUUAAAAAUGGUCAUAUACUGCUGUAUAAUUGUAUAUAUCUUCGUUUCUCUCUCGAACUGCAAUUAAAUUAAUAUGAGGUGUAAAAAUACAUAGAAUUUAAACCAAAUUCAUUUUUAGUUAAGAUUGUAACACACAAAGUACUUAAUGUAAAAUUUCCGUCCACAAUCGGGUUUGUAAAAGUCACAAAAAUAUACAUUCCAUUUUAUUAUAAUUUUGAAAAAGUUAAGAUAAUAACAAUCAGUAUAGUCUAUGUUACCUUGCUAUAUAAUAUAACUAGUCGAAUAAUGUAUUUCAGGUUUGUUCUUUUGAAGAGCAUUUUAUUUUGUUCUAGAAUCUCCUAAUAUUUCAGAAAGUAUGUAUAUAGUGUGAAAGCUUUAUGAAUUAUAUUCGUUUAUUAAUUAGAUGACAACAUCAAAUACCUACUAAUUAGAUUUGCGGUUACUGUGGUCAGCGAAUAUGUUAUUUCAAAAUCAAAGUUCUUAAAGUUGUUAUGUAUUUUCAAAAAUUAGAUACCAUAUUCUAAAGUAUACUUAAAUCUUAAUCUUUGCAAACGUAUUACAAAAAAAGUGUCAUUUGUAAAAAAAAUUGUAACCGCAUAAAAUUGGCUAGAAUUCAUUCAAAUACUAUCAGUAUUUAACCAAGUUAAUUUGCAUUAACCAGCAUUAAUUAUAACUUGUACUUAACGAUCGCCGGAAUAACUUAACUUAAUCGCUUAAUCGUCAUACAAAUUAGUUCGUAAGUGCCAUAUAAGUAAUGAUAUUAAUAUAAUUGUAGAGUAGGUGUUUAUGAGCCGGCUCCAACAGGACCUGUCUACAUAAUUUAUGAAACAUUGGAAUAUAAUUUUGUUAUAAAAUUAGGGUAUUUUAUGUCCUCCGGUCUUUAGUGGUCAUAAAUUAUAAUAAUAUUCAAUAAACAUUUCCAUUUUACAGAGAAAUUCCA
rnacentral:lncRNA from 1 species